GUCUACAGCCAUGCCACCCUGAAUAAGCCCGAUGUCUGAUCUUGGAAGCUAGGCAGGGUCAGGCCUGGUUAGUACUUGGAUUGGAGACCACCUAACAAGACCAGGAGCUGUGGGCA
rnacentral:rRNA from 1 species